rnacentral:lncRNA from 1 species
GCGAUUCAGCGACGAUCAGAAAUCGUCGCUGAAAGUCAAAAAUCGUCGCUAAAUUGGUUUUAGCGACGAUUUUUGAUCGUCGCUAAAGCGUCGCAGUAGGUCGCCUCGCUAAAAAUUUAGCGACGAUAUUGGAUAUCGUCGCUAAUUAUCAGCGAGUAUCAGCGACGAUGUGACAUCGUCGCUGAUGUAAUCCCACACGCGCGCUAUUUUUUGGCGCCAAAAAAUAGCAUCGUCGCUUAAUCGUCGCUAAUAUUUGAAAAAGAUCGUCGCUAAAUCGUCGCUAGUAUUUGAAAAAGAUCGUCGCUAAAUCGUCGCUUUCCUUAAAUUUUAAUUUUCCCUGUUUCAACUUAUCGUCGCUAAAUCGUCGCUUUCCUUAAAUUUUAAUUUCCCUGUUUCAACUUAUCGUCGCUAAAUCGUCGCUAAAAUAUAAUACAAUAAAAAAAAAAUGUUUUAUUUAUAUGGGUGCUCAUUUAGAGCCUUACUAUUCAAUCACACCUGUAAAUACAUGCAAAUACAAUCCAAUACCUGCAAAUACAAUUCAAUUCACACCAAUCUCAUACAUUCACAUUACAAUUCAAUACAAUUUCACAUACCAAUUUCAUACAUUCACAUUACAAUUCAUCGACGAUUAAUUAACGACGAUUGCAUGGUUGAAACAAACAUGUAUUCACAUACAUGUAUACACUCAACAUUACAAUUACAAUUACAACAAAUGUAUACACAUUACAACCAGAAAAAGUGAAUACAUGUCGCUGAAUCGUCACAUUACAACAAAUGUAGAUACAUGUUAAGUGUUAAGUGUUUUACAAUUUUUUUUGUUGAACAAUAUUGGAAAUAUNNNN